GAUGAACGCUGGCUACAGGCUUAACACAUGCAAGUCGAGGGGAAACGACGGGGAAGCUUGCUUCCCCGGGCGUCGACCGGCGCACGGGUGAGUAACGCGUAUCCAACCUGCCUCUGACUGAGGGAUAACCCGUCGAAAGUCGGCCUAAUACCUCAUGGCAUCGUCUGCGGGCAUCCAACGACGAUUAAAGAUUUCAUCGGUCAGGGAUGGGGAUGCGUCUGAUUAGCUUGUUGGCGGGGUAACGGCCCACCAAGGCUACGAUCAGUAGGGGUUCUGAGAGGAAGGUCCCCCACAUUGGAACUGAGCCACGGUCCAAACUCCUACGGGAGGCAGCAGUGAGGAAUAUUGGUCAAGGGGCGGGAGCCUGAACCAGCCAAGUAGCGUGCAGGAUGACGGCCCUAUGGGUUGUAAACUGCUUUUAUGCGGGGAUAAAGUGAGGGACGUGUCCUUCAUUGCAGGUACCGCAUGAAUAAGGACCGGCUAAUUCCGUG
rnacentral:rRNA from 1 species